AUUGAACGCUGGCGGCAGGCCUAACACAUGCAAGUCGAACGGUAACAGGAAGAAGCUUGCUUCUUUGCUGACGAGUGGCGGACGGGUGAGUAAUGUCUGGGAAACUGCCUGAUGGAGGGGGAUAACUACUGGAAACGGUAGCUAAUACCGCAUAACGUCGCAAGACCAAAAAGGGGGACCUUCGGGCCUCUUGCCAUCGGAUGUGCCCAGAUGGGAUUAGCUAGUAGGUGGGGUAACGGCUCACCUAGGCGACGAUCCCUAGCUGGUCUGAGAGGAUGACCAGCCACACUGGAACUGAGACACGGUCCAGACUCCUACGGGAGGCAGCAGUGGGGAAUAUUGCACAAUGGGCGCAAGCCUGAUGCAGCCAUGCCGCGUGUAUGAAGAAGGCCUUCGGGUUGUAAAGUACUUUCAGCGGGGAGGAAGGGAGUAAAGUUAAUACCUUUGCUCAUUGGCGUUACCCGCAGAAGAAGCACCGGCUAACUCCGUG
rnacentral:rRNA from 1 species